GAGGUUAUAGCUUAAUGGUAGAGUGCCUGCCUAGUAUGCGUGAGCUCUUGAGUUCAAUCCCCAGUACCUUCA
rnacentral:tRNA from 1 species